rnacentral:rRNA from 1 species
UACGAAGGUUCCACUGUUUUUAAGAAUCUCUAAUGAAAUUGAGAUAGGGGUGAAGACGCCCCAUACAAGUUGUCAGACGAAAAGUCCCCAUGGAACUUUACUGGAGACUUAUGACAUGGAAAUCUGACUAGAGACAAAAGACUUUAGUCGUAUAAGAAGUUGCAAGUAAGGGAGACAGUUUCAUUGGGGCGAUGGCUUUUUAAAAAGUAACAAAAGUGAGCUAGAAAUAUAAGUUUGAUUGUAAGGGGGAGAUCCCGAGCAAACACUUUUGGUGGGCAAAAGUGACCCGUUUUUUUUUAAUGGAAAAGUCAACGAUAAACA